rnacentral:lncRNA from 1 species
UUUGUCUGUCUGUGUAUCGGAAUAUCAGAAAUGCUGCCAACCCCGUCAUGAUGUAUACUAGUACUGUAUUUGCUAAUUUGAUAUGGUCGUACCAAAGACUUGAGUGCAGAGUCUGGUGCAAUGUACAUGUCUGUAUUUGAUUUAAGCGUAAGUAAUCCACAAGUCAACUAAACAUACAUACAUAUAUAUAUAGCGAAGAUAAGAUCAAAUAUCGGAACAGAAACGUACGAUCUUGUAUAUUGAGCUGGCCAAAUCCAGAGUCAACUGACGAACACGUCCACACAAAGAUCGUAUCAAACUCUCGCUUUCUUUCCUGAAAAGAUCAAACCAUCAAAAAAUACGUACUCUGAAUUUUUCUUAGCUUGUUCGUUGGACAGCGGCAUGCACUAAGAACGCGCCCACACACACACACACAUAACACAUUAUUACUAUUAGAGUAGCUGUCAUCAUUCACUUCUCUCACGUCGAUCUCUUUUUUCACAGGGUAAACAAGUUGGUAGUCGGUAGGCAAUCACUAUGUGAAACGGCCAGCUUCAUAUGGCCGGUCGGUCCAGUCAUCUCCAGCCCUUGGAAUUGGCCGAGUCCUCCUCGGGGAACAUGGAGGAGAGGAAGACGUACGUACUAAACUGCGGGGUUUUCUCUAUCGGGACGACGACGAGAAAGAAAACGUAAACCUUUUGGUGCUUUGCGUUGCAAGUUCGUACGUGUAUCGCGAGAUCGAUCGCUUGACGCGUAGUAGUUUAGAUCGCCAUUAGUCAAUGCGUUCGCGGCGGCGAUUUCCAUCGCGUCAGUCAAACGGACGAAUAGCUUGCGCGCGUUCUGCUGUCCCCAACGGUGCAGGUUCAUCAAGAAACAAGACUGCAGAUCAAACGCUGUAACUAAUGAACUGUCUAAGGUGUGUUCAUCCGCUGUCUGUCAGCGUUGCCUAUGAUUUUCUGACUGGUGAGCGAAAAAAAAGGGUAUGCAGUCCUUGGUGCGAACCGGAUCUUCGGUUGUUUUACAGACGUUUACCAGCACUAAUACAAUUCAUAACCACCUUUAUUACCUUAUCUACAGUCCAAUAACAAGACCAGAAGCCAGCGGGGCCAGCCGCAGCAGGGACUACACUGGCUAAGAUUAGUUUCUUUUUGCCGCAGGGAAGUGCUAACUAAUUAACUAGUGUUUGGCGUCCUGUCCAAAGGAAACUGCAAGGAAGGUGAGUGAGAGUGUGGCAGACAGCUCCUGCCUCUCCAGGCCCGGCCAAUGGCAGCUCAUCAGCUCACUUGUGUUGUGAGCUUCCUGUUAACAAUCUAGCUAGCUAGCUUAAGCUAAUCUGGUCGUCUUUAUUAUGGAUGGUCAGAGGUCCGCACUGAUUGGACACGGUGUCGAUCAGGGGCUUGGAUCACGCGGCAAUGUACGGGAGCGGAGUUCAUCAUGUGCGCUUGUCCUCUGCCCUUGUACCGUGGCGCACAUCAUAUGAUCGGAUUACUAUAAUCUGUGGGGUUUUGUGUUCGUCGGCGGCCUCAGUCCAAGAACCUUCGUUCCUUUUGUUGUAGGUCCGUCCACACGUCGAGUGCACGCGGAGAUACACUACUUUGAGAUCUGCAACUGCAACUGCACGUCGUUGCUUCUGCGAUAAAGUUUGACCUGUGUUACAUAACGAAUUUGCGUCCUGGAAUUUGUCUACAGACCCGCACGCGCUCGACGCCGUCGGAUUGGAGUCGCGCGGUCACGACUCUGUUUCAUGCAGAAAAAGUAUCAAUAAAUUCGCAUUACCAAAUCAGCAUCAUUAGAUUAAUCAAGGAAUUAAUUUCUCAUAUUGUACAUCUUAAGUAUUGUACAUAGGCGUUGAAAUUUGUCAUAUAAAUUUAGACAAUUUUUAUACACGGAGUAAAAAGAGACUAUCAAUAAAUUUAGACAUGAGUUCCUAUUUCCCGCGUUACGGGACGGAAUACCAGCAAUCACGCACCGCCUCCCCGUGCACGCACUUUGGGCCGGCCCAAGAUCCCGUACCCUCUUUUUUUUUACUUCAAAAAAUGUUCAUGAGUCCCAAAUUCGAGAAAAAAAAAUUGGUGUUACCCUAAUUAUUUAAAUGAAAAUUCAAAAAAUGUUCAAAAAAGUGAAAAAAUGUUCUAAAAAAUUAUAAAAUGCUCAGGAAUUUGCAAAAUAGUCUAGGAUUUUUCAAAAAAUGUUCGUGAACUUAAUUUUUUCGGAUUACAAAAAAAAAUUCAUCAAUUUUUCAAAAUGUUACCGAGUUUUAAAAAUGAUAUUGUAUUUUUCCCUGUAUUUCAUAAAAUGUUCACAGAUCCAAAAAAUCAUGAAUUCAAAAAAUGUUGUCCUUUUUAAAAAAAUCACCAAUUUAAAAAAAUCAUGGAUAUAAUAAAAAGGUUAAUUUGGAAUAAAAAAAUAUAAAUAUCGAAAUAAAAGAACAAACUAAAUAAAAUGGAAAAGGCACAAAAAAUCGAAAGAAACACACACACACAAACUGAACCUUCCAGAAACCGGAAAGAAGAGAUUAUCGGGCCGGCCCAACUGUGUGGGCCGUGGCAGUGCUAGUGUGCUACUACUCGCUAUGCCCUGCUUGCGGCUUACGCUGGGAUAAGCCCAGAUACAGUAGUAGCAGUGCCACCACGGCCCAGACAGCGGACAGCCAAGAGCCCACCCACUCCUGUACUGUUCUUUGUUGCUCGGCACGUAGGAGAGGGGAGGGGGAGAGAUAUCGGGACCUCCUAUUCAGCGCCUUCAGCGCCGGUUAGGAAAACCGGCGCCUGCAGCGCUCCUCUAAAUGGGCCGCCCCAUGUAAAAAAUGCAUUGGUCAAUAAAAAUUUGAAAAAAGUUCAGAGAAUUUCAAAAAGUUCAGAUUUGCAAAAAAAAGUUCAAUUAUUAUGGAAAAGUUCAGCGAUUUCUGAAAAAUAUGUACAUGGAUUUUCCAAAAUUUCACAGAAUUCGAAAAAAAUAAUCAUCAAUUUUUAAAAACAGUUCACUGAAUUUGAAAAAAGUUCAUGAAUUUUAAAUUAUGUUCAUCAAUUUUCAAAAAUGUUCACGAAUGUCCAAAGAAAAUCAUCAAUUUUCAAAAAAGUUCACCGAUUUAAAAAAAAUCACGGGCUAAAACAGUUCACGGGCUAAAGAAGUUUAUGAAAGAUCCCUACGUGGGCCGGCCCAUUGUGAAGCGCUGCAGGCGUCGGUUAGCAAAUUUUGCAUUUAAUCAGCGCCUGUGGCACUAAAUCAGGCGCUAAAUAGGUUUUCCCAGAGAUAUCUCUCCCUAAUAAUUAAGCAAAUACGGUUUCUGGUCAUUCGUCUUGAAAAUCUUUCCCUAAUAAUAAAGCAAAUACGGUUUCUGGACGUACGUCAUGGAAAUUACCCUUAAAGUUUACAUAAAUUAUCCAUUAUGCCACCGGUAAGUAAUAGAAAACGUUUUACAAAGCACAAAGUCUUGGACUGGGCCGGCCCAUGUAAAACCUCCUAUAUUACGCUCUGCAUGCUGGGAGAAUAUCCAGCACACCGUAUGGGUCGGCCCAUGCACAGGCGCCUGCUUUUAGUUCCGUUUAUUUAUUUAUUUUCAGUUCCGUUUUAAUUUUUGUAUUAUAAAUAAUUUAGAACUUCAAAUAGUGUUUAAAUUUUUAGAAAAUUAUAAGUCAACAUAUUUAAAAAAAUAAAAUGUUUGUGACUUUAAAAACUGCCCAGAGUUUUGUAAAAAAUGCUCGCAUAUACAAUAAAAUGUUUGCAAUUUGAGAAAAAUGUUUAUACAAUAAGAAAAGUCCAUGAUUUCAAAAACAAUUCCAUGUAUUAAAAAAUAUUAAAGGCAUUUAACAAAAUGCUUUCUAAUUCAAAAUAUGUUAAUGCAUUUAAAAAAUGUCUUAAAAUUUUAAAAAUAGCUAAUGCCUGUUUUGUUAGUUUCUUUUCUUAUUUAUAAUUUAGAAUAAAAAAAACUUUGGCAUAUUAAAAGUAGGAAUUUUGAAUUAAAAUGCUGACGAAAACAUAAAAAGGUUUGUGGAUUAAAAAAACGCCGAUUUUUAUAUAUUUUUGCAAAUUCCAAAACAAUGUCCAUGAAUUUAAUAAAUAUAUUACUGAUUUAUAAAAAUGUUUGUUUAUUUUGAAAAACUUCAUGCGUUUCAAAAAAUGUUUGUGAAUUUACAAUAAAAUGCUCCAACAUCAAAAAUUAUGUUCGUCUUUUCUUGAAUUGAUCGCCAAUUUAAAAGAAAAUAUUUAAACCCGUUCGAAAUAUAAAAAAUAUUUAUAAUUUUUAGUUAAUGUUUGUAAAUUGUAAAAAAUAUUCUUGAUUUUAAAAUUGUUCGCAUAUUUGUAAAAUUGUUCACGAAAGAUCUAAUGUAUGUAGUUAAACAUUAAUGCUUCUAAGUCUUUAUGACAAUAUACCUGUGUGAAUUUUGAAAAAAUAACUGCUUGAUGCAUCGAAUUAUUAUUGUAUGUUUUAAAAAAAAAUCUUGAAAUUCAGAAUAAAUCUUUGAGUUACCAAGAUUUUUGACAACCAUGAUAUAUAUUUUUUGAAAAUGUAAAGAUUGCUUCAACUUGUGAAUAAUUUAAAAGAAGAUACAUUUUCUUGCAUUUGUGAAUAAAAUUUUAAAAUCAAAGGAUGAUAUGUGAACAUAAUGUGGUCAUCAUCAUUGUAGAUUAUAUUGUUUUUUUCUUUCGUGACAACGCACGGGCCAUUUUGCUAGUUACUCCUAAAGUUCGUAUAAAUUACCCACCAUGGCACCGAUAAGUAAUAGAAACGUUUCACAAAGCGAAAAAUCUUGGACUGGGCCGGCCCAUGUAAAAACGUCAUAUAUUACGCUCUGCACGCUGGGAGAAUAUCUAACACACCGUAAGGGCCGGCCAUGCACAGGCGCCUGCUUUNUUUCAAAAAAUGUUUGUGAAUUUAAAAUAAAAUCCUCCAACAUAAAAAAUUAUGUUCAUCUUUUCUUGAAUUGGUCGCCAAUUCAAAGAAUAAUAUCUAAACCCGUUCGAAAUAUAAAAAAUAUUCACGAUUUUUAAGAAAUGUUUGUAAAUUGUAAAAAAGAUUCUCGAUUUUAAAAUUGUUUCCUUAUUUAUAAAAUUGUUCACGAAAGAUGUAAUGUAUGUAGUUAAACAUUAAUGCUUCUAAGUCUAUGUGACAAUAUACUUGUGUAAAUUUUAAAGAAUUAAAUGUUGGAUGGAUCGGAUUAUUAUUGUAUGUUUUCUAAAAAAAUUCUUAAAAUUCAGAAUAAAUCUUUGAGUUACCAAGAUUUUUGACAACCAUGAUAUAUAUUUUUUGAAAAUGUAAAGAUUGCUUCAACUUGUGAAUAAAUUUGAAAGAAGAAACAUUUUCUUGCAUUUGUGCACAAAAUUUCUUAAUCAAGCAAUGAUAUAUGAAUAUAAUGUAAUCAUCAUGAUUGGAGAUUAUUUUUCUUCCAUGCCAACGCACGGACCAUUUUGCUAGUCUCCACUCAAAAGGUAAACAGAAAGGAGAGGGGACGAGACAAGGCCGUCAAAGUCUGGCCGUCGCCUUCAGCACACCCCCCUCCGCCGACCAUCCGGCGAGUGGCAGCGGCUCAACGUCGUCGUGAUCCACAAGAAGAAUCGGGGGACGGGGACUUACUAGAUGAAUCGCUGCCUGCCGCCUUUAUUCCAUUUCCAUGUACGUGGAUAGGGGAGAACAACCAAUAAUGCACCCGGCGCCCCCUGCUCCUGCUGGCUGGCAUGCACAAGGAAAAUUCCUACUACUGAAAUCCUUCGGAUCAGAAGAGGCCCCGAAGGAUUCUCUUUAAACACCUGCUUAUUCAAGCCAAAGAUACAAAAAGAUGGAAAGACCGAGCGUCAAACGAACAUAGGUAUUAUACAUCUGAAAACAGGGUGCGCUGGAAGGACCACCUUCAGUUUUGGGGCAUCCAUUUUUCUUUCUCUUUUUGUCAAACGAGGACGACGGCCGGAUAGCUCUUAUCAUUGAGAUAAUGAUGGAACUAACACAAAAUACCAGCAUCCUUUACGUGCCAAACUGAAAGUAAAGCCUAGGCUAGGAGGAGGAGCUUUCCAGGGCACGCUUACUGCUACCCACCCAAAACACACUUUAAACUUCACAACCCCACAAAGGGCUGCCAAAACAGACCAUCUCUGGAUCUCUAUCACCAGGAAAGGCACAACAGGACCAAAAGGAGCGCCAAAUUGGUGGCAGUUCAAUCUGCAACUAGCAAUGGAGGAGGGCAUCCAAGUUGCACAACAGAUCUAUCCUAGUAAAAAAGAAACUGGAAAUUUAGAGAUGGCCACCCUCAACUGACAGAAGUAAAAAAGAAGGCGCAACUCAUGUAAUUUAGAGAUGGUAGAUGAUGCAUAGCUUUCCCUCCCCCCUCACUAAACAAGUAAACCCUACAUACUGAAAGCUGAAUAUUGCCCUCUCAAUAAAGAUACUGAAAAGAUGAAAGGAAUAUUCAAGCUGUUUUCCUAUUCAAUCUUAUGCCUUCUGGGGAACAUUGUUAUCUUGACAAAAAGAGAUGAUUCUCCUUUUUAUGCUUCAGUCACCGAGGAUAUGUAAGGAGCACAACGCUUUUGGUCUGAGCAUCAGAUGACCAAACCAGAUAUUUUGCCAGUAUAGGAAACCACUAAAGCCAGGAGGACAUGUAUAAGCACAAUGGUGUUAUGUCAGCCUGCUUGCCUCCUAGACGUUUUUCUAGCAUGGAGGGUAUAGCCUUCGCUUAGCGAAGGGAUGAUCACUGUGAAAGAGACAUCAUUAAGUACUAGAGAUGACAGUUAGUGUAUGUUGUGUCUCUUUUGUGUCACAUCUCUAGGUGAUAUGAAGGACAACCUGAAGUAAGGAAGGUAUAUAUGCAUAUUUANNNNNNNNNNNNNNNNNNNNNNNNNNNNNNNNNNNNNNNNNNNNNNNNNNNNNNNNNNNNNNNNNNNNNNNNNNNNNNNNNNNNNNNNNNNNNNNNNNNNNNNNNNNNNNNNNNNNNNNNNNNNNNNNNNNNNNNNNNNNNNNNNNNNNNNNNNNNNNNNNNNNNNNNNNNNNNNNNNNNNNNNNNNNNNNNNNNNNNNNNNNNNNNNNNNNNNNNNNNNNNNNNNNNNNNNNNNNNNNNNNNNNNNNNNNNNNNNNNNNNNNNNNNNNNNNNNNNNNNNNNNNNNNNNNNNNNNNNNNNNNNNNNNNNNNNNNNNNNNNNNNNNNNNNNNNNNNNNNNNNNNNNNNNNNNNNNNNNNCUUCCGAUCUAUGUGAAGGAAGGACCAACUGGAUUCGACUUUGCUAGUACAUAGAAUCCUUAUCAUCACGUGAAUACACGUAACAGUCAACUUUCUACAAAACUUUUCAUAUGCCAUAUCAAUAAUAUCCGGAGGUAGUUUAGGCCUUGUGUGUACGGACCCAUGACCUGUUUCUCCAGUUCUACUCAACUAAUAGUUUAAUUUGUGCACAUAACAAAUAACUGAAUGGAUUGUUGGGUUGGCCCAAUCGGCCCAAACUUUCAUCCUUACGUAUGGAUAGGCUAACCUGUCGAAUAAAACUGAAGAAUAAAACAGAAUGGUAUUAUAGAAAACUGGCCGAAAAUUCUAAAACACAUGAUGGUCUGCAGUGCUGCAUAAAUAUUUUUAAGGCAAGGGUGAAAAUCAAACCAACACCAGAGCAAAGAUUGUCGGAAUAUGUUAAAUAAUAACAGUAACACAGUGAAGAUUAAGCUAGUCUAGAUAAACUACCUUACAUCUUUGCUAAAACUUGCACAGAACAUAACGAAGGCUUCAAGAAGAUGCAUGCAGCUGACCUUUUCAGUGAUACCAAAAGAGUGGUGGUCCAACAUAGAGUAUCGUUGCAACUUGGCAGGUCCCAGCAGAAACAAUUCACCCUGUAAACAAUACUAUUAACGUGACAAAGCUCUAGACCCUGAGUGCAAUUAAGUGGGUCGCAGGCAUAUGUUUCCUGUUGCUACCAGUCUAUUUAUGUAAUCCCUGAAUUAGAAUGGAACAAUGACCCUAAGAUAUAAGGAACAUGAGUUUUCAGAAGGGAAAAAAAAUCUGUUAAUGCUGUGCAAGUGCAUUACAAGCCAACAACAAAACAAUAUGAGAAGAUAUCUAAAAGAAGUUACAUAGGAAAAAGUACUUAGUAUGACUAAAUGUGCAGUUGUAAUGAAGAGCCUAAACACGUUAAGUACACCUAUAUGUUCAGCGCCACUAGAUUGUUAGGCCCAGAAGUAUGGUAUUAUGUCAAAAGAGGUUGCAACCAAAGGAAUGCGCUAAAAUCACCCACAGUUCACAAGCUUGUUCCAGAAUUCCACAGCAAUGCUAAUAAUCAGAUGGCUUAAACAUGCACGCCAAAAUAUCUACAGCCUGACUAUUUCAUAAAGUUCAGGACCAAAGCGACGUGUAUACCAUGACAUGACGCUAGUAUCAAAACUUUUGAAAGGUGAAUAAGACAACCCCGGUCGCGCAAUACAAGUAGUUCACUCAUGCACCAGCACCAGCCCCGUGCUGGCUGGCAUGCACAAGGAAAACGAUCAAUCACACUUCACACGGGUUCCUUCCAACUUCACAGAUCAAGGGUUAAUUUGCGGUAAUGUCAAAAUAUAAACAUAGAAUUC